rnacentral:rRNA from 1 species
AUGAAUGCACAAAACAAAAAAGACAGCAACCAGAUAAUCAAGCUGUGGAAUUAUUUAGAGCCAUGCCGCAUACACACGGAGGCGAGCCCUCUACAGCCUCAAGGUUUAAAACAGACUUCACUCGACAAAGCAAAUUCACACGCUCGCAAUGCAUCCAAGUAUACACAUGGCUGGAAACUAAGCAACACAAUAUACUACCUACUACUUUGCCAAGAUAAUCAAGUUGUGGAGUUAUUUAGAUCCACGCCCAUGUUCUCAGGAGUAUUAUGCAUUCACAUGUCCUCAAGGUUUAAAUCAGACUUCACUCGAUGA